UACGAAGGGGGCUAGCGUUGCUCGGAAUCACUGGGCGUAAAGGGUGCGUAGGCGGGUCUUUAAGUCAGGGGUGAAAUCCUGGAGCUCAACUCCAGAACUGCCUUUGAUACUGAGGAUCUUGAGUCCGGGAGAGGUGAGUGGAACUGCGAGUGUAGAGGUGAAAUUCGUAGAUAUUCGGAAGAACACCAGUGGCGAAGGCGGCUCACUGGUCCGGUACUGACGCUGAGGUGCGAAAGCGUGGGGAGCAAACAGG
rnacentral:rRNA from 1 species